rnacentral:rRNA from 1 species
AGUGAACGCUGGCGGUAGGCCUAACACAUGCAAGUCGAACGGCAGCACAGUAAGAGCUUGCUCUUACGGGUGGCGAGUGGCGGACGGGUGAGGAAUACAUCGGAAUCUACUUUUUCGUGGGUGAUAACGUAGGGAAACUUACGCUAAUACCGCAUACGACCUACGGGUGAAAGCAGGGGAUCUUCGGACCUUGCGCGAUUGAAUGAGCCGAUGUCGGAUUAGCUAGUUGGCGGGGUAAAGGCCCACCAAGGCGACGAUCCGUAGCUGGUCUGAGAGGAUGAUCAGGCACACUGGAACUGAGACACGGUCCAGACUCCUAAGGGAGGCAGCAGUGGGGAAUAUUGGACAAUGGGCGGAAGCCUGAUCCAGCCAUACCGGGUGGGUGAAGAAGGCCUUCGGGUUGUAAAGCCCUUUUGUUGGGAAAGAAAAGAAGCAGGUUAAUACCCCGCUGUUCUGACGGUACCCAAAGAAUAAGCACCGGCUAACUUCGUG